rnacentral:lncRNA from 1 species
UUUCAAUAAGGCAGUUUCCUGCACAUGCUGUCUUGCUUCCCAUGUAAGAUUUGCCUUUGCUCCUUCUUCAUCUUCUACCAUGAUUGUGAAGCCUCUUCAGCCAUAUGGAACUCCUGCUUAUAACAAAAUUCAAACAGAGCUUACAUCCAAGGAUACAUACGUCUGAAACCUACAGGCCCAUGUACUCCGAUCCAUGCUCACAAAAACCAGCAUUCAACCCUCUCAUUCAACCUUUUAAGAGCAGGCUGACUUCUGGAUGAAACAAUCUCUAAUCUUAAAUGUGAUCUUGACACCCUCCAUUCUUGUUUGCUUCCCAUCCCAGACUCUGAUAAACAUGCUUUUAUUCUCUAUGCCCAUCCAUUUAAUUGUAUUGAUUUCAAGUUUAAUUGCUCUCAAAAAGUAUUUACAAAAAAUAUUUGUUUCUCUGUGCCUGGUUUAUUUUCCUUAACAUAAUAAUCUUCAGUUUUGUUCAUGUUGUUGCAAAUGACUGAGUCUUAUUGUUUUUUAUGGCUGACUCUAUUGUUUACAUGUACCACAUUUUCUUUGUCAGUUCAUCUGCUGAUGACCACAGGUUGCUCUCAAAUUUUAGCUAUUAUUGCAUAUCAUGCUGCAAUAAACACAGAAGUGCAGACCUCUAUUUUAUAUACUUUUUUUUCUUUUGGAUAUAUACUUAGAAGUGGGAUUUCUGGGUCAUAUGAUAGCUUAUUUUUAG